AAUUUAAUAACAAUUUAUGUACAUUUAUUAUAUAUUUUGUAUAAAUAUAAUUUAAUUGUAAUAAUUAUAAUAUUAACUUCUAUAAUAAUAAAGUUUAUAUAUUCAAUGUAUAUUAUUUUAAUAUACAUAUUUCAUAUUAAUAAAAGAUUAAAAAUUAGUUCUUUCUGAUUGUGUAGGUGGCCUAGAUCCAUAUCGUUGUGUAUAAGGCAAAUCAUGACUUUUUCUUUUUCGAACACAAUAUAUGAUU